rnacentral:rRNA from 1 species
GUGCAGCCGCCGCGGUAAUACCGGCAGCCCGAGUGAUGGCCGAUCUUAUUGGGCCUAAAGCGUCCGUAGCUGGCUGCGCAAGUCCGUCGGGAAAUCCACGUGCUUAACACGUGGGCGACCGGCGGAAACUGUUCGGCUUGGGGCCGGAGGACCCGAGGGGUACGUCCGGGGUAGGAGUGAAAUCCUGUAAUCCUGGACGGACCGCCGGUGGCGAAAGCGCCUCGGGAAGACGGACCCGACAGUGAGGGACGAAAGCUGGGAUCUCGAACCGGAUUAGAUACCCAGUAUCC